rnacentral:sRNA from 2 species
AUGUAACGCUCGUACACGGCGGUUCCUCCGCGCCGUCCACGCCUGCCUGACGACUGCUCGCUACAUGUGGGUAGCC